rnacentral:tRNA from 1 species
GCCUUCGUGGUGUAGUGGUCAGCACGUAUUCCAGAGGUCCGUGGUUCGAAUCCUGGCGAAGGUG